CGAUGAGGUAGAGGCGCGGUCUUAAUGAGUAUUUGAUCUGAGGAUGACAACGAGGACGAUCAAGGAAAGGUAAUGCUGCCGAAGUAUCAUCAAGUGUCUGACUUGGUGGUACUGGUCGAAUUGGGAAAUACCCGUUCGAUUGCCAUACGUGUUUUGUAUGGAGCGCUCCAAUUCGG
rnacentral:ncRNA from 2 species